rnacentral:rRNA from 1 species
AGAGUUUGAUCAUGGCUCAGGACGAACGCUGGCGGCGUGCUUAACACAUGCAAGUCGAACGGAAAGGCCCCUUCGGGGGUACUCGAGUGGCGAACGGGUGAGUAACACGUGGGUAAUCUGCCCUGCACUUCGGGAUAAGCCUGGGAAACUGGGUCUAAUACCGGAUAGGACCACUUAGCGCAUGCUUUGUGGUGGAAAGCUUUUGCGGUGUGGGAUGGGCCCGCGGCCUAUCAGCUUGUUGGUGGGGUGACGGCCUACCAAGGCGACGACGGGUAGCCGGCCUGAGAGGGUGUCCGGCCACACUGGGACUGAGAUACGGCCCAGACUCCUACGGGAGGCAGCAGUGGGGAAUAUUGCACAAUGGGCGCAAGCCUGAUGCAGCGACGCCGCGUGGGGGAUGACGGCCUUCGGGUUGUAAACCUCUUUCAGCAGGGACGAAGCGCAAGUGACGGUACCUGCAGAAGAAGCACCGGCCAACUACGUGCCAGCAGCCGCGGUAAUACGUAGGGUGCGAGCGUUGUCCGGAAUUACUGGGCGUAAAGAGCUCGUAGGUGGUUUGUCGCGUUGUUCGUGAAAACCGGGGGCUUAACCCUCGGCGUGCGGGCGAUACGGGCAGACUGGAGUACUGCAGGGGAGACUGGAAUUCCUGGUGUAGCGGUGGAAUGCGCAGAUAUCAGGAGGAACACCGGUGGCGAAGGCGGGUCUCUGGGCAGUAACUGACGCUGAGGAGCGAAAGCGUGGGGAGCGAACAGGAUUAGAUACCCCCGUAGUCC